GACGAACGCUGGCGGCGUGCUUAACACAUGCAAGUCGAACGAAGUGGCGAACGGGUGAGUAACGCGUAAACAACCUGCCCUUCAGAGGGGGACAACAGGUGGAAACGACUGCUAAUACCGCAUACUGAAGGAGGGGAAUUCGUCGGAUUAGGUAGGUGGAGGGGUAACGGCCCACCCAGGGGAUGCUCAGUAGCCGGUCUGAGGGGAUGAACGGCCAAAUGGGGACUGAGACACGGCCCAGACUCCUACGGGAGGCAGCAGUGGGGAAUCUUCCGCAAUUGACGAAAGUCUGACGGAGCAACGCCGCGUGAGUGAUGACGGCCUUCGGGUUGUAAAGCUCUGUUAAUCGGGACGCGGUACCGGAAUAGAAAGCCACGGCUAACUACGUGCCAGCAGCCGCGGUAAUAC
rnacentral:rRNA from 1 species